GGGGGCCCGCACAAGCGGCGGAGCAUGCGGAUUAAUUCGAUGCAACGCGAAGAACCUUACCAAGGCUUGACAUGGACCGGACCGGGCUGGAAACAGUCCUUCCCCUUUGGGGCCGGUUCACAGGUGGUGCAUGGUUGUCGUCAGCUCGUGUCGUGAGAUGUUGGGUUAAGUCCCGCAACGAGCGCAACCCUCGUUCCAUGUUGCCAGCGCGUAAUGGCGGGGACUCAUGGGAGACUGCCGGGGUCAACUCGGAGGAAGGUGGGGACGACGUCAAGUCAUCAUGCCCCUUAUGUCCAGGGCUUCACACAUGCUACAAUGGCCAGUACAGAGGGCUGCGAGACCGUGAGGUGGAGCGAAUCCCUUAAAGCUGGUCUCAGUUCGGAUCGGGGUCUGCAACUCGACCCCGUGAAGUCGGAGUCGCUAGUAAUCGCAGAUCAGCAACGCUGCGGUGAAUACGUUCCCGGGCCUUGUACACACCGCCCGUCACGUCAUGAAAGUCGGUAACACCCGAAGCCGGUGGCUUAACCCCUUGUGGGAGGGAGCUGUCGAAGGUGGGACUGGCGAUUGGGACUAAGU
rnacentral:rRNA from 1 species